rnacentral:rRNA from 1 species
UUUACUCNNGUCCCAGUAGAUUUUGAACAGUGGCCCUCCAAAUUUUNAACAGGGACCCCUNAAUUUUUAACGGGGGACCCAAAAUUUUUUNUGGGGUACCUCCGGGAAACCGGGGCUAAUACCGAAUAAUCUCUUUUGCUUCAUGGUAAAAGACUGAAAGACGGUUUCGGCUGUCGCUAUAGGAUGGGCCCGCGGCGCAUUAGCUAGUUGGUGAGGUAACGGCUCACCAAGGCGACGAUGCGUAGCCGACCUGAGAGGGUGAUCGGCCACACUGGGACUGAGACACGGCCCAAACUCCUACGGGAGGCAGCAGUAGGGAAUCUUCCACAAUGGGCGAAAGCCUGAUGGAGCAACGCCGCGUGAGUGAAGAAGGUUUUCGGAUCNUAAAACUCUGUUGUAAGGGAAAAACAAUUACAUUAUUAACUGGCUGUACCUUGACNGUACCUUAUUAAAACCCACNNCUAACUACNUNCCNNCNNCCNCNNUAAUNCNA